rnacentral:lncRNA from 10 species
CCGGCCUUGGCCAGCCCAGAAAGGGGCUCCCACGGUGCAGUGGCGGGCUGAAGGGCUCUUCAAGUGCCGCCAAAGUGGGAGCCCAGGCAGAGGAGGCGCCGAGAGCGAGCAAGGGCUGUGAGGACUGCCAGCACGCUGUCACCUCUCAUUACCUCUGUCACUUCUAAUAUUGAAGGAAGAAGGAGCAGAUGUGACAGUUUCUCCAAAUAAGCUUUGGAUCUCAUAAUCUGCGGUUCCUGUUCUGUGGAUCGACUUCAAUGCUCAUGCAGGGUAAUAUCAAGCUUUUAUCACAUCACACUGCUCAGAGAACUGGCACUACAUUGCUCUGUAAGUAAUAAUGUUUUCCCUGAUCCAGAGACCUUGUGUACCCUUUCAAGAUAAGUAAGUAAAUAUAGAUAUAAAAGCCUAAUACGGAAUAACAAUUACUUAAUAAUUCCUUUGGUGUCUAUCUUUGCUUAAAAUAAUAAAUUUAACAUUCAAUUUUUACAGAAAAUUUCUGAGUACUUUUAUGUGUCAGAUACUGUGUUAAGUUCUUUCGCAUACAUUAUCUUAAGUAGUUU